GAAGAAGAGGAGCUCCAGUGAGGAGUGGGGUGUGAGAGAAACAACCGUGCGGACCCCGAGGACCAGCCAAGCGACGUUUCUGAACGACUGAGGCUUUGUGCUCGACAAAGGGGUAGGAGAGGAUCACUGCUGGAGGUAUAGUCAUUAUGGAGAUCAGAGAGAGGCCGUCGAGCACCACCAAGGGGUAACCGCGGCAGAGGAUGGGACCAUCAGGUGGACUUCCCUCCGUUCAGGACACUUGAAACGAGAGUCAGCACCACGCAGAAAUGGGAAACCCUGAGGAAUGGCG